AGAGUUUGAUCAUGGCUCAGGACGAACGCUGGCGGCGUGCUUAACACAUGCAAGUCGAACGGAAAGGCCCCUUCGGGGGUACUCGAGUGGCGAACGGGUGAGUAACACGUGGGUGAUCUGCCCUGCACUUUGGGAUAAGCCUGGGAAACUGGGUCUAAUACCGAAUAGGACCGCAUGCUUCAUGGUGUGUGGUGGAAAGCUUUUGCGGUGUGGGAUGGGCCCGCGGCCUAUCAGCUUGUUGGUGGGGUAAUGGCCUACCAAGGCGACGACGGGUAGCCGGCCUGAGAGGGUGUCCGGCCACACUGGGACUGAGAUACGGCCCAGACUCCUACGGGAGGCAGCAGUGGGGAAUAUUGCGCAAUGGGCGCAAGCCUGAUGCAGCGACGCCGCGUGGGGGAUGACGGCCUUCGGGUUGUAAACCUCUUUCAGUAUCGGCGAAGCUCCAGGAUUUUUCUUGGGGUGACGGUAGGUACAGAAGAAGCACCGGCCAACUACGUGCCAGCAGCCGCGGUAAUACGUAGGGUGCGAGCGUUGUCCGGAAUUACUGGGCGUAAAGAGCUCGUAGGUGGUUUGUCACGUUGUCUGUGAAAACUCACAGCUUAACUGUGGGCGUGCGGGCGAUACGGGCAGACUGGAGUACUGUAGGGGAGACUGGAAUUCCUGGUGUAGCGGUGGAAUGCGCAGAUAUCAGGAGGAACACCGGUGGCGAAGGCGGGUCUCCGGGCAGUAACUGACGCUGAGGAGCGAAAGCGUGGGGAGCGAACAGGAUUAGAUACCCUGGUAGUCCAA
rnacentral:rRNA from 1 species